rnacentral:rRNA from 1 species
GUUUCAUCCUGGCUCAGAUUGAACGCUGGCGGCAUGCCUUACACAUGCAAGUCGAACGGCAGCAUGAUCUAGCUUGCUAGAUUGAUGGCGAGUGGCGAACGGGUGAGUAAUACAUCGGAACGUGCCCUGUAGUGGGGGAUAACUAGUCGAAAGAUUAGCUAAUACCGCAUACGACCUGAGGGUGAAAGUGGGGGACCGCAAGGCCUCAUGCUAUAGGAGCGGCCGAUGUCUGAUUAGCUUGUUGGUGGGGUAAAGGCCCACCAAGGCGACGAUCAGUAGCUGGUCUGAGAGGACGAUCAGCCACACUGGGACUGAGACACGGCCCAAACUCCUACGGGAGGCAGCAGUGGGGAAUUUUGGACAAUGGGGGCAACCCUGAUCCAGCAAUGCCGCGUGUGUGAACAACGCCUUCGGGUUGUACAGCACUUUUGUCCGGAAAGAAAUCCCCCUUACUACUAUUANGUGUGGAUGACGGUACCCCAAGAAUACGGACCG